CUGGACUUAGGGGCCAGCAAAAGCUCGGAAGCUGCCGGUGCACUGUUGCUCGGCAGUGGAGACUCCUCGCUGCAAUGGGAGGCCUGGAGGGCCGAUGAGGCAAGCCUUCUAGCUGAACGGGAGAGCUCAAUGCUGCUCAGACCCUGGGUUUGAUUUGUCACGCUAUAUUGUUGAGGGACAGGAGGUACUAGGAGGUAUGCCCAGAAAACGGGAGUGGUGACAGGUGCGGCUUAGAAAGGUGGAGGCAGGCAGGGCUUGAGUGCUAAAAGCUAAACCUGUGUGCUUCUCUCCCUCUCUUGGUCAGUCAUCAUGUGAGUAUGAUCUCUGCUCUACUUUCUCCUUCUUCUCUCCUCCAUCUCUCACUUUCUCUCUCGGCCUAACAUGUGAAUGUUCUCAAUUUUUCUGAAUAAAAUUUAAAGUUCCUGAAAA